rnacentral:misc_RNA from 1 species
UCCUGGUUUCCCAGGCAGUCCCAUCAGAGUGCUCCAUCACUGGAUUGCAACUGACGGCAGGGGUUGCGCUCGUUAUAGGACUUAACCCAACAUCUCACGACACGAGCUGACGACAGCCAUGCAGCACCUGUGUAUAUGUCUGAGGUUACCCCCAGAAAACUGUGUUUCUACAGCGGUCAUAUACAUGUCAAACCUAGGUAAGGUUCCUCGCGUAGUGUCGAAUUAAACCACAUGUUCCACCGCUUGUGCGGACCCCCGUCAAUUCCUUUAAGUUUUAAUCUUGCGACCGUAGUCCCCAGGCGGAUCACUUAGCACGUUAGCUACGACACUAAUCCCGCUAAGCGGGACUAACAUCUAGUGAUCAUCGUUUACAGCGUGGACUAC